UACGUAGGUGGCGAGCGUUGUCCGGAUUUAUUGGGGUUAAAGGGUGCGUAGGCGGUUCCAUAAGUCAGUGGUGAAAUACAAUAGCUUAACUAUUGAGGUGCCAUUGAUACUGCGGAACUUGAGUACAGACGAGGUAGGCGGAAUUGACGGUGUAGCGGUGAAAUGCUUAGAUAUCGUCAAGAACACCGAUAGCGAAGGCAGCUUACUAGACUGUAACUGACGCUGAUGCACGAAAGUGUGGGGAUCAAACAGG
rnacentral:rRNA from 1 species